rnacentral:rRNA from 1 species
AAACUUUCAACAACGGAUCUCUUGGUUCUGGCAUCGAUGAAAAACGCAGCGAAAUGCGAUAAGUAAUGUGAAUUGCAGAAUUCAGUGAAUCAUCGAAUCUUUGAACGCACAUUGCACCCCCUGGCAUUCCGGGGGGUAUGCCUGUUCGAGCGUCAUUA